CUAACAAGACCUUGCAACAUGAAGAGUGGCGCACUAUUAUGUUGUAUGUCUUGACCAACCUAUCCGAAGUGGAGCCGUACAUGCAGGAAUUCAAUGAGCAAUUCUGGCAUGAAUCAAGGGAACCUACCCUCGAGGAAGCUUCGGCCCUUCUUAGAGAUGGUGUGGGAAAUGACAUGCCUGAUUUCAUUUCUUGGUUCAAACAGAAAGGAACAACCGACGAGUCUAUGAGUGCCGACUUGAGACAAGUUGCUGAUGGUUGUG